CUACAGGGUAGCAAGGCUGGGCAGUGAAGGGCCGGCUGAGAUUGGGGAAGGGCCGGAGCGGCCAGCAGCCACGUGCUCAGAGGACAGCGGUGCAGAGAGCAGGCUGUCCUGCGGGAGCAGAGACGCGCUCCCAACUUGGGCAGGGGGCGGGGAGCAGAGCCGGAGGAGGCAGGUUCUGGCAGAGGGGAUAGGGGUGGGGGGAGGCCGAGAGCACGCGGACAAAGGAGCCGGCCGGCAGCCCAGCUGUUUUGAAAAAUGCUUCCUGUUUCUUUAAAGGCGCUCGCGGUUCGGGCGGCCGGGGCUGGGGAGGCGGCGGCGGCGGCCGGAGCUGCCUCCUCUCCGGGCGGGCGGCGUUGAGUGAUCUUGCAAACUGGGCUUCUGUGUAAACUGAGGCUAAACAAACACAGAUGGAGCGCAGCGGGCGUUCUAAAGAAAUGCUGGCGGGGCAGCAGCGACUUCAGAUGACACUCUGAGCGCUCCCGGGGAACGAACAGCCCCCGAAGCUUCGCGGAGCCGGCGGUGCAGCUGCCGGGGCAGAGGGGGAGCAAGGGAACGAGAGAGGGAGGGAUCGGGGGAGGGAGGGACCGGAGAGAGAGCCGCGACCAGGCGGCGCUGCGCGCGGUGGCUGCCUGGACGCAGCCGGCGCGCGGCGGGCAGAGCGAUCGCAGAGCGCGCUUCCCGGGCAGCACUACGUUCCUGCCCUGCGCGCCGCCCCCGCCAUGAAGCACAUCCCGGUCCUCGAGGACGGGCCGUGGAAGACUGUGUGCGUGAAAGAGCUGAAUGGCCUCAAGAAGCUCAAGCGGAAAGGCAAGGAGCCAGCGCGGCGCGCAAACGGCUAUAAAACUUUCCGACUGGACUUGGAAGCGCCGGAGCCCGGCGCCACUGCCGCCACCGCCACCAACGGGUUACGGGACAGGACCCAGGCGCUCCCGAUCCUGACCCCAGUGCCAGCCUCUGUGGCGCCGGCGGUUCCUCCAGGUGGAGGAGCGGACACAGCAGGAGAGCUCAGGGGCAUCCGAGCGCCCGACAACUCAGACGCGCGCAAACGCAGUUUCGCCCUGGGCGCUGUGGGACCCAGACUUCCCACGCCGCCGCCGCCUCCGGCAUCCCAGGGUUUGGCACCUGGGGGUCCCGAGACCCAAGCUUUCCGCGAGCCGGCUCUUCGUCCCCGCAUUUUGCUGUGCGCCCCUUCCGCGCGCCCCAUGCCUUCUGUGCCUCCCGCAACCCCAGCAGCGCCCCGAGAGUCGUCUGUGCUCCCUGCGCCCCCCACGCGCCCGGGGGAAAGUUCCUACUCGUCAAUUUCACACGUAAUUUACAAUAACCACCCGGAUUCUUCUGCGUCGCCUAGGAAACGGCCGGGCGAAGCAACCGCCGCCUCCUCCGAGAUCAAAGCCCUGCAGCAGACCCGGAGGCUCCUGGCCAACGCCAGGGAGAGGACGCGGGUGCACACCAUCAGCGCGGCUUUCGAGGCGCUCAGGAAACAGGUGCCAUGCUACUCCUAUGGGCAGAAGCUGUCCAAACUGGCCAUCCUGAGGAUCGCCUGUAACUACAUUUUGUCGCUGGCACGGCUGGCUGACCUGGACUACAGUGCAGACCAUAGCAACCUCAGCUUCUCUGAGUGUGUGCAGCGCUGUACUCGCACCCUGCAGGCUGAAGGACGAGCCAAGAAGCGUAAGCCUGAAGAAGAAUUGCUUCCUGUGAACCUGAAGAAAACAUCGGGGCCUGUCAGCUGGGAGGACAGUAGAGUAGCAGCCACACAGAACAUCCCAGAAGGGUUGACCCUAAUUCAUGACAAGUUCAUCUUAGCAGCAGAGCCUGUUUAAAGGGUGUCUUCUGUGUGAGGCUGGAGAAACUCUGAGGAUAGACAGCCAUCCAUCCCUAGAGCUUUAACCUCCAAAGCAGAAGCCGCCCCGCCACCCCCAACCCCCAAAUGCCUGAGCCAGGGGGACUCGAGCCCUGGCAAGCUGUGCUCUGCAUGCAGGACAGAGGUGGUGGCGUUGCUGUGGGGAGCAAUUUCAUACUAUAAUUAUGUGUACAGCCCCGAUGCAUCCCUUGUAUGGCAGGAGUGACCGGCCAUGGGCUAGACCAAGGACGCUGCUGUGGGUCUCGUCCAAGUCGGACCCGAGGAGAAAGAAGCUGUGUUCAUCAAGUCAGCCUCAUCGCUGCCUUCUCCAAGAUGCUACCAGACACUCGGCCCACCUCUCAGGGUCUCCCAAGGACCAGACGGGGGCAGCCUUCCUUCCUCUUACCCUCUUGCUGUCCCCAGCCAUCUGAGGUUACUUCAAAUUUUGCCCUCUGCCUGGUGAGGAAGGAAAGUGUAGCUGCAGAAGUUCAUUGCCAAAGAUUCCUUAGAGAUGCUCAACAGAAUAACAGGAUGAAGCUGCACGGUGAAAAGCCACACUGCUGCUGUCUGACUGGGUCCCAGCUAAUGCCAAAGAUGGGUCAGCACUUCUGCCAGGAACUCAUGCAAGGGGUGGACAUUUGGUGGCCUCCAGAAGCACUUGAUCCUCUGAAUUGGUGCUCUGUCUGCACUGGCUCUGAGCUGGCUGGGUGCAAGACAAGCCUACUAGGGCUAGUGAGAGGCAGGCUAGGUGCCUGGGAACGGUGGAGGGUGAGGUCUGAGGUAGCCUCUUCCCAUUAGCUACCCAGAUCUCUGAUCCUGAUUCUCAAUAUUCUUUGAGUCUUGUCUCUCUCUUGAACUCCGCACUUCCUGAGAUUGGAGGAAGUCGGGGAGGGAGAAGCAGUAUGGCCCCAUCUCCCACCCAGAACAUGUCCUAAGACAACCUAUCUGAGGGUCUUUGUUCCCAGAGCCUGCCCUGUGAACUGCCUCUCAUCAGUGGCCCCCCUCACAACAGCAAACAAGAUAGCACUCUUCUGGAAGCCAGUGGCCUGUGGACAGGCAGGGCAGGAGGGCCCAAGGAGGAAGGGACCAGGGGAACGGAUCAGUAUGUGGGAAGGCGGCACGUUCAAAGCCAAGGCCUGCUCCUUGUGCUCAAAAGGCCAAAGCUGUUCACAUCUGUGCCCAACCAUCUGCUUCAAAUUGAAGUAAAAGUUCCAACAUGUAAAGAAAAUGCUUGUCUGUGUUGAGUGGACUCUGUGGGUGAGCAGAAUGUUGGGCAGUCAGCUGGGGAGUUGUGAGGGAGGGGGUGGGGAGCCCUUCAAGGGCAGUGUUGGGGGCGCACCAAUAGCCUCAGGCUGGACUAGAGCUCAGGAAGGUUGAGCAGGUCAUGUAAGAAGCUUUCUCCACUCUACCCUUUACUACUGCGAGUUUUGGGAGAUGAAGGCUGCUACUAAUACCAUU